UACGGAGGGUGCAAGCGUUAUCCGGAUUCACUGGGUUUAAAGGGUGCGUAGGUGGGUUGGUAAGUCAGUGGUGAAAUCUCCAGGCUUAACUUGGAAACUGCCAUUGAUACUAUCACUCUUGAAUACCGUGGAGGUCAGCGGAAUAUGUCAUGUAGCGGUGAAAUGCUUAGAUAUGACAUAGAACACCAAUUGCGAAGGCAGCUGGCUACACGAAUAUUGACACUGGAUGCACGAAAGCGUGGGAUCAA
rnacentral:rRNA from 1 species